rnacentral:rRNA from 1 species
CCUACGGGAGGCAGCAGUGAGGAAUAUUGGACAAUGGGCGCAAGCCUGAUCCAGCCAUGCCGCGUGCAGGAAGACGCAUCUAUGGUGUGUAAACUGCUUUUGUACGGGAAGAAACACUCCUUCGUGAAGGAGCUUGACGGUACCGUAAGAAUAAGGAUCGGCUAACUCCGUGCCAGCAGCCGCGGUAAUACGGAGGAUCCAAGCGUUAUCCGGAAUCAUUGGGUUUAAAGGGUCCGUAGGCGGUUUAAUAAGUCAGUGGUGAAAUCUGGUCGCUCAACGAUCAAACGGCCAUUGAUACUGUUAGACUUGAAUUACUAGGAAGUAACUAGAAUAUGUAGUGUAGCGGUGAAAUGCUUAGAUAUUACAUGGAAUACCAAUUGCGAAGGCAGGUUACUACUAGUGGAUUGACGCUGAUGGACGAAAGCGUGGGGAGCGAACAGGAUUAGAUACCCUGGUAGUCCACGCCGUAAACGAUGGAUACUAGCUGUUGGGCGCAAAGUUCAGUGGNGUAGAGAAGUAGAGUAAGUAAGUACCACCGUACGGGAGGUACGGUUACGUCGUAAGAAAGUUAAGAAAGUUAAAAGGUUAAAGUUAAGUAACGGCGUUGAGAGAGCGACGGACGACGACGAGGGAGGAGGAG